GACAGGUGCUGCAUGGCUGUCGUCAGCUCGUGUCGUGAGAUGUUGGUUAAGUCCCGCAACGAGCGCAACCCCUAUCUUUAGUUGCCAUCAUUGAGUUGGGCACUCUAAAGAGACUGCCGGUGUCAAACCGGAGGAAGGUGGGGAUGACGUCAAGUCCUCAUGGCCUUUAUGACCAGGGCUACACACGUACUACAAUGGCCGGUACAAAGGGCAGCGACACAGCGAUGUGAAGCCAAUCCCGAAAAGCCGGUCUCAGUCCGGAUUGGAGUCUGCAACUCGACUCCAUGAAGUUGGAAUCGCUAGUAAUCGCGGAUCAGCACGCCGCGGUGAAUACGUUCCCGGGCCUU
rnacentral:rRNA from 1 species